rnacentral:rRNA from 1 species
UGAAGUGGCGGCUGCUAUAAUGCAAGUCGACGAGGUGCUUUUGUAGCAAUACGAGAGUAUCCUAGUGGCGAACGGGUGAGUAACGCGUUGGUGACCUACCCCAAAGUGUGGGAUAACAGUCCGAAAGGAUUGCUAAUACCGCAUGUGGUUAUUGGAUCUAGAAACUGAUAACUAAAGGAGCAAUUCGCUUUGGGAGGGACCUGCGUCCCAUCAGCUAGUUGGUGAGGUAACGGCUCACCAAGGCUACGACGGGUAGGGGACCUGAGAGGGUGGCCCCCCACAAUGGAACUGAAACACGGUCCAUACACCUACGGGUGGCAGCAGUAGGGAAUAUUGCACAAUGGGCGAAAGCCUGAUGCAGCAACGCCGCGUGUGCGAUGAAGGUCUUCGGAUCGUAAAGCACUUUUCUGAGAGAUGAGAAAGGACAGUAUCUCAGGAAUAAGUCUCGGCUAACUACGUGCCAGCAGCCGCGGUAACACGUAGGAGGCGAGCGUUAUCCGGAUUCACUGGGCGUAAAGCGCGUGCAGGCGGUUUGGUAAGUUGAUCGUGAAAGCUCCCGGCUCAACUGGGAGAGGUCGUUCAAUACUACCAAACUAGAGAGUAGAAGAGGAAGAUGGAAUUCCCGGUGUAGUGGUGAAAUGCGUAGAUAUCGGGAGGAACACCAGUGGCGAAGGCGAUCUUCUGGUCUAUUUCUGACGCUCAGACGCGACAGCUAGGGUAGUAAACGGGAUUAGAGACCCCGGUAAUCCUAGCCGUAAACGAUGUGAACUUGGCGUCGGUGGCUUAAACACCAUCGGUGCCGAAGCAAACGCGAUAAGUUCACCGCCUGGGGACUACGGCCGCAAGGUUAAAACUCAAAGGAAUUGACGG